rnacentral:lncRNA from 1 species
UGAUUAUUAAUAAUAUAAAUACAUAAAAAGCAACUACUUUAUAACUUUUGAGUUAAUUUUCUCUCCUAGAUGGUAAUAUGCGAGAGAAAGUUGAAUUGUAUGACUAGAUCAAAUAUACUUAAAAGUUGAAUUGAUAACUAUAAUGUUCUAAGAGUCUUAUAGCAUCAAUGUUGCAGUCAUCUGUAAGUGCCUUAGGGUUGUUCUUUUCUGUUACUAGUACAUUCAGAUUUUACUAUGAAAAGACAUGGGGACUAGUUAUAUGUAUAUUAGAUUACCAGAUGAUAUUUGAUGCACUUCAUCAUUAAGUGAUACUUGACGAAUAAGGAAAAUUUUACUUUUCCCACCUGUCUUCUAGGGCAAGAGGUAGUUCAUUUCCUCUGCCUCUGUUACUGAAACACUUGUAUCACUCAACAAUAUUCCUUGUAAUAUAUCAAGCUUAGGUCAUUCGGUAGUGUACGCUCUAUGAGAAAUGAUAUAACUUGGGAGCUGCAUGCAUUGAAAACUUCUGGCUUCCCAACUGUUAAGCAAAUUAUUUUCCUUUGGAGGUAGAAGAAAAGGGGUGAUCUUUUAUAAUUUCAGUUCCCUGUAUAUAUUUGCAGCAGUUCUUGAUCCUACAAUAAGAUAGGGGUUGGAAUAUUUAAGAAGGGUUAAUUGUAUUUGUUGACUACAUACUGUAUGCAAGACAGUUUACAAAAUAAUAUAACCUAUGUUGCAACUCUGAGACAUUUGGUUAUCUAUAUGCUGCAUUUUAAAAAUUGCAAUUUACAAAAUUUUAUGUCAAGUUAAUUAGUCCCAAACUCUAGGGCAGAAGAAUAUGGGGAGUAAAAGAAAGUUUAAUUGAAGAAAUGGCCCCUGGGCAGCUAUCAGAAGAUGAAGGAGCAGCCUGAGCCUGGAGGGGAACAAACAGUGUUCUCAUUAGGGGACACAGUGUUUGCAUAGGAUCUACAGUAGGAGGGAUCUUGACUUGAGGGCAGAUAGUAUGGGACACAUACAAUACCAUGGAGGCUGCCGCAGGUAUCAGGGCUCUACUAAAGUCCAUUGAAGGACUCUGAAUCAAAAGGAAGUCAUGGGUGUGAAUGAACCUACACUUUUAUUACAACAGUUGUGUUGUUUGCACACAUGGUUAUAAUUGUAGUAUGGAGAAGAGUUUGACAUAAUGUUAGUUCAAUAAUCUAUGUGAAUUACAGUGAUGAUUCAAUAGCAUGUUGGCAGAAGAGCUAGAGAGACACAUAGCAUGAGGAUAUGAGUGAAGUUGACUGAAAAUAUUGACGCGAGGAGAUAAGGAGGUUAGAAAGAUAUUAAAAAUGGCACAGAUGUGAAUGACAAUGCUAUCAUCUUAGAGAUGGGAAGCACCAAGAGAAAAAGCCAACUUUUCCUAAUUUAAGUGUUUGUUCAUUUUAAAAUAUAGUGCUGGAUUAAGGGCAUGCAGUUUAUAGGUGGUUUGGGCACACACCUCUCCUGUGAUACUUGAUAAAAGCAAUGUAAAAGGGCAAUUGGGAUUGAGAGCCUGAAAUUUAGAAGAGAAAUCUAGGCUCAUAGAUUUAAUGAUGGGCGAUGACCAAAUCUCUGAAAAAUUGUGAACCAAUCAGAGUUACCUGAUAGAAGGAAACUAAUAUAACUACUGUCAGAGUGAAAAGGAAGUGGGUGUCUCAAACAUAAAGAAGGAUAUAUAAAGUGUCAAAUAUGCUGGGAGAUCAACUGAGGAAGAAGACAGUUGUUUUUUGGCGACAAGAAGGCAGUAGCUGAUGUUAGCAGAUUCAAUCCAGAGAUCUGAUGGGGAUAGAAGCAAGAUGGCCGAAGGGCUGAAAGAGGAUGAGAACACAGACAGGUCUGGUUAUUAGUUUAGAGUAGUGGCCAGAACUGGAAGAAAAAGUAAUAGAGAAUUGCAUGUUAGCUAGCUGUAUACUGCUAUUGGGAUACAGUACUAUGAAGUAUAAAUGAAUUGAAAAAAAACCCAACCCAAAGGCUUAUUUUGACUCACAAUUUUGAAAUUCCCAGUUCAAGAUCACGGAGACUCAACACAUCUGAUUGGGGAGCAAGAUGUCAAAGGCAGGGUGCACGUGUGGUGGGAAAACUGCUAAAAUCAUGGUAAUGAAUCAAAGUAUCUAUUCAGGAUCAAGGUCACAAUGAUAUAAGGACAUUCUACAAGAUCCCACCUUCUAACAGUCCACAGCACAAUAGUAUCACCCUAGCAACCAAAGUUUUAACACAUGGAUCUUUGGGAGUCAGAUAGUUCAGACUAUAAC